rnacentral:rRNA from 1 species
UAGGGAAUCUUCGGCAAUGGACGAAAGUCUGACCGAGCAACGCCGCGUGAGUGAAGAAGGUUUUCGGAUCGUAAAACUCUGUUGUUAGAGAAGAACAAGGACGUUAGUAACUGAACGUCCCCUGACGGUAUCUAACCAGAAAGCCACGGCUAACUACGUGCCAGCAGCCGCGGUAAUACGUAGGUGGCAAGCGUUGUCCGGAUUUAUUGGGCGUAAAGCGAGCGCAGGCGGUUUCUUAAGUCUGAUGUGAAAGCCCCCGGCUCAACCGGGGAGGGUCAUUGGAAACUGGGAGACUUGAGUGCAGAAGAGGAGAGUGGAAUUCCAUGUGGAGCGGUGAAAUGCGUAGAUAUAUGGAGGAACACCGGUGGCGAAGGCGGCCCCCUGGACAAAGACCGACGCUAAGGUGCGAAAGCGUGGGGAGCAAACAGG